rnacentral:rRNA from 1 species
AGUGAACACUGGCGGUAGGCCUAACACAUGCAAGUCGAACGGCAGCACAGUAAGAGCUUGCUCUUACGGGUGGCGAGUGGCGGACGGGUGAGGAAUACAUCGGAAUCUACUUUUUCGUGGGGGAUAACGUAGGGAAACUUACGCUAAUACCGCAUACGACCUACGGGUGAAAGCAGGGGAUCUUCGGACCUUGCGCGAUUGAAUGAGCCGAUGUCGGAUUAGCUAGUUGGCGGGGUAAAGGCCCACCAAGGCGACGAUCCGUAGCUGGUCUGAGAGGAUGAUCAGCCACACUGGAACUGAGACACGGUCCAGACUCCUACGGGAGGCAGCAGUGGGGAAUAUUGGACAAUGGGCGCAAGCCUGAUCCAGCCAUACCGCGUGGGUGAAGAAGGCCUUCGGGUUGGAAAGCCAUUUUGUUGGGAAAGAAAAGCAGCAGGUUAAUACCCCGCUGUUCUGACGGUACCCAAAGAAUAAGCACCGGCUAACUUCGUG